GGCGCUGCCUACGGAGGUGCCCGCCAUCUCCUACUCGGCAUCAUGGCUGCCCUCAGACCCCUCGUGAAGCACAAGACUGUCAAAAAGAGGACCAAGAAGUUCAUCUAGCACCAGUCACACUGGUAUGUCAAAAUUAAGCGGAACUGGCAGAAACCCAGAGGCAUUGACAACAGGGUGCGCAGGAGAUUCAAGGGCCAGAUCUUGAUGCCCAACAUCGGUUACGGGAGCAACAAGAAAACAAAGCACAUGCUGCCCAGCGGCUUUGCCCAGUUCCUGGUCCAGUUCCUGGUCCACAACGUCAAGGAGCUUGAAGUGCUGCUGACGUGCAACAAGUCUUACUGUGCUGAGAUUGCGCACAACGUCUCCUCCAAGAACCGCAAAGCCACUGUGGAGAGAGCAGUCCAGCUGGCCAUCAGAGUCACCAAUCCCAAAGACAGGCUGCGCGGCGAAGAAAAUGAAUAG